rnacentral:rRNA from 1 species
CCUACGGGUGGCAGCAGUGAGGAAUAUUGGUCAAUGGCCGAGAGGCUGAACCAGCCAAGUCGCGUGAGGGAUGACGGCCCUACGGGUUGUAAACUUCUUUUGCAGGGGAGCAAAGAGCGGGACGCGUCCCGCCUCGAGAGUACCCUGAGAAAAAGCAUCGGCUAACUCCGUGCCAGCCGCCGCGGUAAUACGGGGGAUCCGAGCGUUCUCCGGAUUUAUUGGGUUUAAAGGGUGCGCAGGCGGAAGCGCAAGUCAGCGGGAAAAUUGAGAGGCUCAACCUCUUCCCGCCGUUGAAACUGGGUUUCUUGAGGGGGCGAGAGGUAGGCGGAAUGCGUGGUGUAGCGGUGAAAUGCAUAGAUAUCACGCAGAACUCCGAUUGCGAAGGCAGCGUACCGGCGCCUAACUGACGCUGAUGCACGAAAGCGUGGGUAUCGAACAGGAUUAGAUACCCGAGUAGUC